AAAUCUAGCCCCAAAAUUUAAUCAACACUACUAUUACCUACCAACCAAUCAAUCAAAACAUUUACAUAAUAUCUAAAGUAUAGGAGAUAGAAAUUUUACUUCCUGGCGCAAUAGAAAUAGUACCGCAAGGGAAAGAUGAAAGAUUAAUUCACAGUACAAAACAGCAAAGACUAACACUUUUACCUUUUGCAUAAUGAGUUAGCUAGAACCCCCCUGGCAAAGAGCACUUCAGUCAAGCACCCCGAAACCAGACGAGCUACUUAUGGACAGUAAACAGAACCAACUCGUCUAUGUAGCAAAAUAGUGAGAAGAUCUAUAAGUAGAGGUGAAAAGCCAACCGAGCCUGGUGAUAGCUGGUUGUCCAAAACAGAAUAUUAGUUCGACUUAAAAUUUACCCCAAGAAACAAAAGCCUAAUCCCACUGUAAAUUUUAAAUAUACUCAAUAGGGGUACAGCCCUAUUGAAACAAGGACUAAACCUAAUUUGGAGAGUAAGCUAUAAUAAUUUUUCCAUUGUUGGCCUAAAAGCAGCCACCAAUAAAGAUAGCGUUCAAGCUCAAAAACUAACCAAAUCCUAAAUCCCACAAAACACUAUGCCACCUCCCAAUACCAAACAUUGGACCAAUCUAUUACCACAAUAGAAGAAAUAAUGCUAACAUAAGUAACAAGAACUUUUUCUCCGAGCAUAAGCUUACAUCAGAACGAAUACUCUACUGAUAAUUAACAACAUGGUAAUUACAGUCAACCAAAUAAUAAAAUACCAAACCCAUUGUUAACCCGACACAGGCAUGCACACCGGAAAGAUUUAAAGAAAUAGAAGGAACUCGGCAAA
rnacentral:rRNA from 1 species